rnacentral:rRNA from 1 species
UAGGGAAUCUUCGGCAAUGGGGGCAACCCUGACCGAGCAACGCCGCGUGAGUGAAGAAGGUUUUCGGAUCGUAAAGCUCUGUUGUAAGUCAAGAACGGGUGUGAGAGUGGAAAGUUCACACUGUGACGGUAGCUUACCAGAAAGGGACGGCUAACUACGUGCCAGCAGCCGCGGUAAUACGUAGGUCCCGAGCGUUGUCCGGCUUUAUUGGGCGUAAAGCGAGCGCAGGCGGUUUGAUAAGUCUGAAGUUAAAGGCUGUGGCUCAACCAUAGUUCGCUUUGGAAACUGUCAAACUUGAGUGCAGAAGGGGAGAGUGGAAUUCCAUGUGUAGCGGUGAAAUGCGUAGAUAUAUGGAGGAACACCGGUGGCGAAAGCGGCUCUCUGGUCUGUAACUGACGCUGAGGCUCGAAAGCGUGGGGAGCGAACAGG